CUCCUUAACAAUUAUGUAUCCGCUGCAUCGGAAAUCUGCAGUGGAUCCAUAACCAACCGUCUCGGAUAUAACCUCGGGGCCCCAGUAAUCCGUUACAGCACUUACCUAGCGUACAUAAUCGUUUAGAUCACCUGUGAGAUCGGAAGGGCGU